UACGAAGGGGGCUAGCGUUGCUCGGAAUGACUGGGCGUAAAGGGCGCGUAGGCGGUGUACACAGUCAGGCGUGAAAAUUCCCGGGCUGCAACCUGGGGACCUGGCGCUUGAUACAUGUACGCUUGAGUUCGGAAGAGGGUCGUGGAAUUCCCAGUGUAGAGGUGAAAUUACGUGAGAUAUUGGGAAGAACACCGGUGGCGAAGGCGGCGACCUGGUCCGGAUACUG
rnacentral:rRNA from 1 species